UUCGGCCCUGCGCAGAAAGGUGGCCUAUGCUUGCAAGCCACCGCUCCUGGAGGGUCCGCGUCUGAUUAGCUAGUUGGCGGGGUAAUGGCCCACCAAGGCGACGAUCAGUAGCCGGCCUGAGAGGGUGAUCGGCCACACUGGAACUGAGACACGGUCCAGACUCCUACGGGAGGCAGCAGUGGGGAAUAUUGGACAAUGGGGGAAACCCUGAUCCAGCAACGCCGCGUGGAGGAUGAAGGUCUUCGGAUUGUAAACUCCUGUUAGGGGGGACGAAGGGAUGUCGGCAAACAGCCGGCAAACUUGACGGUACCCCCAGAGGAAGCCCCGGCUAACUCUGUGCCAGCAGCCGCGGUAAUACAGAGGGGGCAAGCGUUAUUCGGAAUUAUUGGGCGUAAAGGGCGCGUAGGCGGCCUUGUAAGUCUUGGGUGAAAUCCCUCAGCUCAACUGAGGAACUGCCUCGGAAACUGCAAGGCUUGAGGCCGGGAGAGGGUAGUGGAAUUCCCAGUGUAGCGGUGAAAUGCGUAGAUAUUGGGAG
rnacentral:rRNA from 1 species